UACACCUGUUGUAUUCAUAAUUUCACUGUAAGGUCUACUACACCUGUUGUAUUCAUAAUUUCACUGUGAGGUCUACUACACCUGUUGUAUUCAUAAUUUCACUGUGAGGUCUACUACACCUGUUGUAUUCAUAAUUUCACUGUGAGGUCUACUACACCUGUUGUAUUCAUAAUUUCACUGUGAGGUCUACUACACCUGUUGUAUUCAUAAUUUCACUGUGAGGUCUACUACACCUGUUGUAUUCAUAAUUUCACUGUGAGGUCUACUACACCUGUUGUAUUCAUAAUUUCACUGUGAGGUCUACUACACCUGUUGUAUUCAUAAUUUCACUGUGAGGUCUACUACACCUGUUGUAUUCAUAAUUUCACUGUGAGGUCUACUACACCUGUUGUAUUCAUAAUUUCACUGUGAGGUCUACUACACCUGUUGUAUUCAUAAUUUCACUGUGAGGUCUACUACACCUGUUGUAUUCAUAAUUUCACUGUGAGGUCUACUACACCUGUUGUAUUCAUAAUUUCACUGUGAGGUCUACUACACCUGUUGUAUUCAUAAUUUCACUGUGAGGUCUACUACACCUGUUGUAUUCAGCAUUUCACUGUAAUAUUUAUAUAUAUUUAUAUUUAUAUGACAUACU